rnacentral:misc_RNA from 1 species
UGGGAACCAAAUAGUACUG